GACGAACGCUGGCGGCGUGCUUAACACAUGCAAGUCGAACGGAAAGGCCCAGCUUGCUGGGUACACGAGUGGCGAACGGGUGAGUAACACGUGGGUGAUCUGCCCCAAACUUCGGGAUAAGCCUGGGAAACUGGGUCUAAUACCGGAUACGACCUGCUCCUGCAUGGGGGUUGGUGGAAAGCUUUUGCGGUUUGGGAUGGGCCCGCGGCCUAUCAGCUUGUUGGUGGGUAAUGGCCUACCAAGGCGACGACGGGUAGCCGACCUGAGAGGGUGAUCGGGCCACACUGGGACUGAGACACGGCCCAGACUCCUACGGGAGGCAGCAGUGGGGAAUAGUUGCACAAUGGGCGCAAGCCUGAUGCAGCGACGCCGCGUGAGGGAUGACGGCCUU
rnacentral:rRNA from 1 species